rnacentral:rRNA from 1 species
CACUCCUACGGGAGGCAGCAGUGGGGAAUAUUGCACAAUGGGCGCAAGCCUGAUGCAGCCAUGCCGCGUGUAUGAAGAAGGCCUUCGGGUUGUAAAGUACUUUCAGCGGGGAGGAAGGCGAUAAGGUUAAUAACCUUGUUGAUUGACGUUACCCGCAGAAGAAGCACCGGCUAACUCCGUGCCAGCAGCCGCGGUAAUACGGAGGGUGCAAGCGUUAAUCGGAAUUACUGGGCGUAAAGCGCACGCAGGCGGUCUGUCAAGUCGGAUGUGAAAUCCCCGGGCUCAACCUGGGAACUGCAUUCGAAACUGGCAGGCUAGAGUCUUGUAGAGGGGGGUAGAAUUCCAGGUGUAGCGGUGAAAUGCGUAGAGAUCUGGAGGAAUACCGGUGGCGAAGGCGGCCCCCUGGACAAAGACUGACGCUCAGGUGCGAAAGCGUGGGGAGCAAACAGGAUUAGAAACCCGAGUAGUCCCAUGA